GCAUAUCAAUAAGCGGAGGAAAAAGAAAAUAACAAUGAUUCCCUUAGUAACGGCGAGUGAAGGGGGAAAAGCUCAAAUUUUAAAUCUGUUAGGUUGUACCUGCCAGAGUUGUAUUUUGAAGAAGCGUUUUCCGUGUCAUGGUUGGUCCAAGUCCUUUGGGAUAAGGCAUCAUGGAGGGUGAGAAUCCCGUUCGGCUGACCUUUUUGACGCUUUACGAUACGCUUUCAAAGAGUCGAGUUGUUUGGGAUUGCAGCUCAAAAUGGGAGGUAAAUUUCUCCUAAGGCUAAAUAUUGGCGAGAGACCGAUAGCGAACAAGUACCGUGAGGGAAAGAUGAAAAGUACUUUGAAAAGAGAGUAAAAUAGUACGUGAAAUUGUUGAAAGGGAAACGAUUGAAGUCAGUCGUACCGACGAGAAAUCAGCUCUUUGGGUGCGAACUUGUGGGCGUGUGUGAGCUUUAAAACCUCGCUGUUUGCAACGUUUGUGCUUUUUGGGUGUACUUUUUCGUAUGGUAGGCCAACGUCAGUUUUGGUUGCUAUAAAAUGACCGGAGGAAUGUAGCUUCGAUCUCGUAUUGAAGUGUUACAGCCUCUGGUAGAUGUGGUGAUUGAUACUGAGGAUUGCAACGAAUACCUUUUGGGCUAUCCGUCUGACCUCUGAAAGUUGCUUAGGUGCCGAAAGCAUGCUUACGGUUAUUUAAGUUAACGGUCAAUAGGUUAGAACGUGAUUAUAUUCGUUAAGGAUGUUGACGUA
rnacentral:rRNA from 1 species